GCCAAAGGAUUAACAAUAUAACUAAAUAUGCUAUUCCUGUAUUGUGUACAUUAGGAACAGUGUAUAUUGCAUACAUACAGAAACAAUAAAAUUUUUUUUAAUUUGAUAAAAUGCUGAGUUAAUGAUGAAACUUAUCAUGAUUUUAUUUACUCCUUUGCUGAUAAAUCUCUACAACUCACAUGAUGAGCAACAUUGUGAAUCUGGUGGCAACAUAUAUUUGCAGAAAGGAAACUCAGCAAGGAAAAGUGAUUGCAAUUGCAAGUGACAAUGGAGGAAAGAUGAUGGAGGCCAUGAGUCAUUUGCUUAACAGUACCCAUUCGGAGGUGUUAAGCUGGCUUUAGCCACGGAAAUCAGAACACAAGGACGUUGAGGAGUUGAGGUGAAAUCAGACUCUCAAAAGAGCGAAAGUAGUGAAAGAGACUGGCUUCUUUUUCAUAUUUGAAAUAUGUAAUAAUUAUUCUUAAAUUCUCUCUUUAUAUUUGAUCUGCCUGUAUCCAAAGUGGACAUCUGCCUUCAGCAAUAAAAGCUCCCAUGGCUUCCUCUUUU
rnacentral:lncRNA from 1 species